UGGGGAAUUUUGGACAAUGGGGGCAACCCUGAUCCAGCCAUGCCGCGUGCGGGAAGAAGGCCUUCGGGUUGUAAACCGCUUUUAGCCGGGAAGAAAAGGCAGGGGCUAACACUCUCUGUUCUUGACGGUACCGGCGGAAUAAGCACCGGCUAACUACGUGCCAGCAGCCGCGGUAAUACGUAGGGUGCGAGCGUUAAUCGGAAUUACUGGGCGUAAAGCGUGCGCAGGCGGUUCGUUAAGUCUGAUGUGAAAGCCCCGGGCUCAACCUGGGAAUGGCAUUGGAUACUGGCGGGCUUGAGUGUGGCAGAGGGGGGUGGAAUUCCGCGUGUAGCAGUGAAAUGCGUAGAGAUGCGGAGGAACACCGAUGGCGAAGGCAGCCCCCUGGGCUGACACUGACGCUCAGGCACGAGAGCGUGGGGAGCAAACAGGA
rnacentral:rRNA from 1 species